rnacentral:snRNA from 1 species
GUUAUUCCGGUGAACGUAUGCAAUGUUUGGAACAAUACAGAGAACAUUGGCGUGGCCACUGCGCAAGGAUGGCACGCAACGUUCGUGAAGCGUUCCCAAUAUCU